GCUGAGAAAGAGUCAGCUGUUGUAAAUAAGCUAAAUUAUUCUGUCAUAGUAGGAAAAAGUCAAGAUAAUGUUUAAAGUUGAUAAAUAGGAAAUACCCAUUCAAGCACGUUAUUUAGAGAUACGAAGUUACCGCCAGAAGAACUAAAUGCGAAAAGUGGUUGCAUCUGGGGCUGAGAAGCAGGGGAUAGGAAGACAUCAGUUUUUUACUACAUGAGUCGUUAUGUACUAUUUUGCCUUUUUAAAAUUGUGCGUGUGCAGCCUUGCUGCCACCAACAUGGAGACUUUGUACCGUGUCCCGCUCUUAGUGCUCGAAUGUCCCAACCUGAAGCUGAAGAAGCCGCCCUGGUUACACAUGCCGUCGGCCAUGGCUGUGUAUGCUCUAGUGGUGGUGUCUUACUUCCUCAUCACCGGAGGAAUAAUUUAUGAUGUUAUUGUUGAACCUCCAAGUGUCGGCUCUAUGACUGAUGAACAUGGGCAUCAGAGGCCAGUAGCUUUCUUGGCCUACAGAGUAAAUGGACAGUAUAUUAUGGAAGGACUUGCAUCCAGCUUCCUAUUUACAAUGGGAGGUUUGGGUUUCAUAAUCCUGGACCGAGCGAAUGCACCAAAUAUCCCAAAACUCAAUAGAUUUUGUCUUCUGUUCAUUGGAUUCGUCUGUGUCCUAUUGAGUUUUUUCAUGGCUAGAGUAUUCAUGAGAAUGAAACUGCCGGGCUAUCUGAUGGGUUACAGUGCCUUUGAGAAGAAAUCAGUGGAUACUGGAUUUGCUCCUGUCAAUGAAGUUUUAAAGGCUGUACCAAUCCUCUAAUAUGAAAUGUGGAGAAGAAUGAAGAGCAGCAGUAAAAGAAAGAUCUAGUGAAAAAACAGGAAGCAUAUUGAAGCUUGGACUAGAAUUUCUUCUUGGUAUUAAAGAGAAAAGUUUAUCACAGUAUUUUUUUUUCCUGCUGACCUAUUGCUAUACCAAUGAUGUUGAGUGGCAUUUUCUUUUUAGUUUUUCAUUUCUUAACAUAUACUCCAUAUCUACAACUAUAAUGUCAAAUAAAGUGAUUAUUUUUUUACAACCCCCUUAACAUUUUUUGGAAAUGACAUUUCUGAUUUUCAGAAAUUAACAUAAAAUCCGGAAGCAAGAUUCCAUAAGCUGAGAACUCUGGACAGCUGAUCAGCUUUACCUAUGGUGCUUUGCCUUUAACUAGAGUGUGUGAUGGUAGAUUAUUUCAGAUAUGCAUGUAAAACUGUUUCCUGAACAAUAAGAUGUAUGAACGGAGCAGAAAUAAAUACUUUUUCUAAUUAAAAAAAAA